ensembl:lncRNA
GGCUAAUGUAUUUCUUCUCUGUCACCUACUGAAGGUGUGAUCUGUCCCAUGAAACCGCUGCACAUCCUUAUGCUGAUGUCCUCAGAGAACCCUUGGACUCAGAGCACUCAUUUUCUGUCUUCAGUUUAGACUGAAUUUGUCAGAAUGCUGUUGGAGCGUACUGAGUGGUAACAAAACUCCAGGAAAGAAGGCAGUUCGGAAAUCAAAGUGUAAAUGGACAGCAGAAAACUGCCCCUAUCUGAGCAACAACUCAGGUUCUCAACGGAACUUGGGAAUAAGGAGAUGUGUGGGAGGUGCAGUGAUGGGAGGAGCUGUGGCUCCUGGCAGGAGUGUUACCAUACAGGCAGGGAUGGGGGCUGACUUCCAUGCUGGUGUCAGUGAGGAUGGCCGGGCUGUGUCCUGCUGCUGAGCCGCUGUGCUGAGGGCGAGGAGUGGCAGAAAGACCUCGGACAGGGUGAGCAGCCCACAUCCUUGCUCCCAAGUGGAAGUUGUGUAUGCGAACACCCUACAGCUGGGAAAACCCUUGGGAACAGCUUUCCACCAGCGUGGGUGCAUCGUGAUGUAUUUAUGCAGGAAAAGAAAUAGAGACGUCCAAACACACACCUGAAGGCUGCAGUUUGCAGAGCAGUGGCUUUCAUCAGCGCUCUGCAGGCUGAGAACCAAAGCAGUGGCUCGGUGCGGAUGAAGGCUCUCCUCCCGGAGCACCGCGCUGAGCUCUGCGCCGCACCUGAGCGCGUCUCGGAAACGCUCGGGCUGUUUGAGGACAUCCCUCCAAAUGAGCACAAUUUCACGUUGUUUUCUUCUGAUGCUGACGGGAGGAGAGGAGCUCCGAGACAAAGGAACGUCUGAGAAAAUGAAAUUCUCGGUGUUGCCGAUGAAAGCACUCCGCCUUGCUUUAAGGCUGGGAUGGAAAUGGGGACACACGGGGAGAACGGCCGCUGUGCUGGUACGGUGAUGUCCCAUUGGCAUCGGCACUGCUCCCUGCGCACGGUGCUGGGGUGGGGAGGGAAUCCCCUAUAGGGCACACUGCGGGGGAACCCUGACCCCGGGGGCAGCUCCUGUCCGGCCCCACAGAGGUGGAUGAGCUGGGAUCCGCGUCCUGGGAGGAGCUCUGAUGCCUCUGAGAACAUUCGGGAGAGCUCCUGAUUUUAAUUGGUUUUCCUUAAUUAUUAUUUACUUUGACUGAAGAAACUGUUGUGUUUAAAUAACGCUGUUUUUUGCCAAAAUGCUGUCACGGAGAAGCUGCUUUCCCUUCAGGAGCCCUCAAACAUGGGCUCCCUUCCAAGCCUUGGGGCUGCACGGUGCUGCGCCCACAGCC